UAGGGAAUCUUCGGCAAUGGACGGAAGUCUGACCGAGCAACGCCGCGUGAGUGAAGAAGGUUUUCGGAUCGUAAAGCUCUGUUGUAAGAGAAGAACGAGUGUGAGAGUGGAAAGUUCACACUGUGACGGUAUCUUACCAAAAAGGGACGGCUAACUACGUGCCAGCAGCCGCGGUAAUACGUAGGUCCCGAGCGUUGUCCGGAUUUAUUGGGCGUAAAGCGAGCGCAGGCGGUUAGAUAAGUCUGAAGUUAAAGGCUGUGGCUUAACCAUAGUAGGCUUUGGAAACUGUUUAACUUGAGUGCAAGAGGGGAGAGUGGAAUUCCAUGUGUAGCGGUGAAAUGCGUAGAUAUAUGGAGGAACACCGGUGGCGAAAGCGGCUCUCUGGCUUGUAACUGACGCUGAGGCUCGAAAGCGUGGGGAGCAAACAGGAUUAGAUACCCUGGUAGUCCACGCUGUAAACGAUGAGUGCUAGGUGUUAGACCCUUUCCGGGGUUUAGUGCCGUAGCUAACGCAUUAAGCACUCCGCCUGGGGAGUACGACCGCAAGGUU
rnacentral:rRNA from 1 species